UGGCUCAGAACGAACGCUGGCGGCGUGCCUAACACAUGCAAGUGGAGCGACGAACCAGGCUUCGGCCUGGGGCAAAGCCGCGAACGGGUGAGUAACACGUGGGUAACCUGCCCCGAUGAUUGGGACAACCCGAGGAAACUCGGGCUAAUACCGAAUGUGCCCUCCGACCAUAAGGUCGCUGGGGAAAGGAAGCUUCGGCCUUCGCAUCGGGAUGGGCCCGCGGCCCAUUAGCUUGUUGGUGAGGUAACGGCUCACCAGGGAGACGAUGGGUAGCUGGUCUGAGAGGACGAUCAGCCACAUUGUCCCUGAGACACGGGACGGACUCCUACUGGAUCAGCAGAGGGGAAU
rnacentral:rRNA from 1 species